GUGCUCGCUUUGGCAACACAUAUACUAAAACUGGAAUGACGAGAGAAGAUCAGCAUGGCCCCUGCGCAAGGAUAACAUGUAAAUUCAUGAAGCAUUCUUUUUUUAA
rfam:Erinaceus europaeus unplaced genomic scaffold scaffold00273, whole genome shotgun sequence